AUGAUGCGAAGAUUCCAUGAUUGGUACAUGAAAACCUAUAGAGAGUCUGGAGGGGGGAGGAAUACUUUGACGCUGAGAGUUAGAGAGGAGCAUGACCUUGUUGGAAUUGAACUGUUGAAUGUUCCAUUUGAGGAGUUCUUCCAGUUUUUCAAUCAAAAGGCCCUCGAUAAAGCAAUGGUCACUUGCUACUACAGGAAACAGGUAAUUUGCCGUCUGUGGAUUACAGACAGCAAAGACCAAAAUCCAGAUGGUAAAGAAUUUGCCGUCACGAAGCAGACGGCAAAGUCAGACGGCAAAGAUAAGUCGGCAAAGAAACUUUGCCGUCAGCUUUUCAUCGGAUAG
rnacentral:rRNA from 1 species